rnacentral:RNase_MRP_RNA from 1 species
AAGCACGGCUUCGCAGAUGCACACGGGGAGCCAGCUCCCAUGGAUGCUGCGAGGAAAGUCCCCGUGCCUUGCUGCAGAGAGUGCGAGUGGGAGACCGCAGGGCUCGUGCCAGUCCUCCAGUGGUGAUGCUUCUCGCGGAGCCUUGGUGGCGGGCUCGGGCCCUUCGCAGCAGCACAGACAUGCCGUGAGCGCUCGAGAUUGGAGCGCUAACAGAACGGGGCUCACUCUCC